rnacentral:rRNA from 1 species
UACGUAGGGUGCAAGCGUUGUCCGGAAUUAUUGGGCGUAAAGGGCUCGUAGGCGGUUUGUCACGUCGGGAGUGAAAACUCGGGGCUUAACCCCGAGCCUGCUUCCGAUACGGGCAGACUAGAGGUAUGCAGGGGAGAACGGAAUUCCUGGUGUAGCGGUGAAAUGCGCAGAUAUCAGGAGGAACACCGGUGGCGAAGGCGGUUCUCUGGGCAUUACCUGACGCUGAGGUGCGAAAGCGUGGGGAGCAAACAGG